AGAGUUUGAUCCUGGCUCAGGAUAAACGCUGGCGGCAUGCCUAAUACAUGCAAGUGGAACGAUUUACUUCGGUAAGUCGUCGCGAACGGGUGAGUAACACGUAGAUAACCUGCCUUAUAGAGGGGGAUAACCAUUGGAAACGAUGGAUAAUACCGCAUAAAUACCUACUAGGCAUCUAGGAGAGUAGAAAGGAGCAAUUGCUUCGCUAUGAGAUGGAUCUGCGGCGCAUUAGCUAGUUGGUGAGGUAACGGCCCACCAAGGCGAUGAUGCGUAGCCGGCCUGAGAGGGUGAACGGCCACAUUGGGACUGAGACACGGCCCAGACUCCUACGGGAGGCAGCAGUAGGGAAUUUUCGGCAAUGGGGGAAACCCUGACCGAGCAAUGCCGCGUGAAGGAUGAAGGUUUUCGGAUUGUAAACUUCUGUUGUAUAGGAAGAAAGGUAAGUGGAGUGGAAGGCCACUUAAUUGACGGUACUAUACUAGAAAGCCACGGCUAACUACGUGCCAGCAGCCGCGGUAAUACGUAGGUGGCAAGCGUUAUCCGGAAUUAUUGGGCGUAAAGAGUGAGCAGGCGGUUAAGGAAGUCUAAGAUGAAAAGCUAUUGCUUAACGAUAGUUUGUUUUAGAAACUCUUUGACUAGAGUACGGUAGAGGUAAGCGGAAUUCCAUGUGUAGCGGUGAAAUGCGCAGAUAUAUGGAGGAACACCAGUGGCGAAGGCGGCUUACUAGACCGGGACUGACGCUGAGUCACGAAAGCGUGGGUAGCAAUAGGAUUAGAUACCCUAGUAGUCCACGCUGUAAACGAUGAGUACUAAGUGUUGGAGAAAUUCAGUGCUGAAGCAAACGCAUUAAGUACUCCGCCUGAGAAGUACGUUCGCAAGAAUGAAACUUAAAGGAAUUGACGGGGGCCCGCACAAGCGGUGGAGCAUGUGGUUUAAUUCGACGCAACACGAAGAACCUUACCAGGACUUGACAUCCGAUGCAAGACUCUAGAGAUAGAGGGAUAGUUGUGGUCGAGACAGGUGGUGCAUGGUUGUCGUCAGCUCGUGUCGUGAGAUGUUUGGUUAAGUCCAGCAACGAGCGCAACCCUUGUUCUCAGUUACCAUCAUUAAGUUGGGGACUCUGAGAAGACUGCCGAUGUAAAUCGGAGGAAGGUAGGGAUGACGUCAAAUCAUCAUGCCCCUUACGUCCUGGGCUACACACGUGCUACAAUGGACGGUACAAAGAGAAGCGAGACGGUGACGUUAAGCAAACCUCAAAAAGCCGUUCCCAGUUCGCGAUUGAAGUCUGCAACUCGACUUCAUGAAGCCGGAAUCGCUAGUAAUCGCGAAUCAGCAAAGUCGCGGUGAAUACGUUCCCGGGCCCUUGUACACACCGCCCGUC
rnacentral:rRNA from 1 species